CCUACGGGAGGCAGCAGUGAGGAAUAUUGGUCAAUGGCCGGAAGGCUGAACCAGCCAUGCCGCGUGAAGGUCAGUGCCCUAUGGGCGUUAAACUUCUUUUGUGCGGGAGCAAUAAUGGUCACGUGUGGCCAGACGAGAGUACCGUACGAAUAAGCAUCGGCUAACUCCGUGCCAGCAGCCGCGGUAAUACGGGAGAUGCAAGGUUUAUCCGGAUUUAUGGGGUUUAAAGGGUGCGUAGGUUGUGAGGUCAGUCAGCAGGGAAAUGCCCCCGCUCAACGGGGUGAAGUGCCAUUGAUACUGCCUUGCUGGAGUGCGGAUGCGGUGAGAGGAAUGUGUAGUGUAGCGGUGAAAUGCAUAGAUAUCACGCAGAACACCGAUUGCGAAGGCAUCUCACGAAUCCGCGAUUGACGCUGAGGCACGAAAGCGUGGGUAUCAAACAGGAUUAGAUACCCCUGUAGUC
rnacentral:rRNA from 1 species